ACGAACGCUGGCGGCGUGCCUAAUACAUGCAAGUAGAACGCUGAAGAGAGGAGCUUGCUCUUCUUGGAUGAGUUGCGAACGGGUGAGUAACGCGUAGGUAACCUGCCUUGUAGCGGGGGAUAACUAUUGGAAACGAUAGCUAAUACCGCAUAACAAUGGAUGACACAUGUCAUUUAUUUGAAAGGGGCAAUUGCUCCACUACAAGAUGGACCUGCGUUGUAUUAGCUAGUAGGUGAGGUAACGGCUCACCUAGGCGACGAUACAUAGCCGACCUGAGAGGGUGAUCGGCCACACUGGGACUGAGACACGGCCCAGACUCCUACGGGAGGCAGCAGUAGGGAAUCUUCGGCAAUGGGGGCAACCCUGACCGAGCAACGCCGCGUGAGUGAAGAAGGUUUUCGGAUCGUAAAGCUCUGUUGUAAGUCAAGAACGAGUGUGAGAGUGGAAAAUUCACACUGUGACGGUAGCUUACCAGAAAGGGACGGCUAACUACGUGCCAGCAGCCGCGGUAAUACGUAGGUCCCGAGCGUUGUCCGGAUUUAUUGGGCGUAAGGCGAGCGCAGGCGGUUUGAUAAGUCUGAAGUUAAAGGCUGUGGCUCAACCAUAGUUCGCUUUGGAAACUGUCAAACUUGAGUGCAGAAGGGGAGAGUGGAAUUCCAUGUGUAGCGGUGAAAUGCGUAGAUAUAUGGAGGAACACCGGUGGCGAAAGCGGCUCUCUGGUCUGUAACUGACGCUGAGGCUCGAAAGCGUGGGGAGCGAACAGGAUUAGAUACCCUGGUAGUCCACGCCGUAAACGAUGAGUGCUAGGUGUUGGAUCCUUUCCGGGAUUCAGUGCCGCAGCUAACGCAUUAAGCACUCCGCCUGGGGAGUACGACCGCAAGGUUGAAACUCAAAGGAAUUGACGGGGGCCCGCACAAGCGGUGGAGCAUGUGGUUUAAUUCGAAGCAACGCGAAGAACCUUACCAGGUCUUGACAUCCCGAUGCUAUUUCUAGAGAUAGAAAGUUACUUCGGUACAUCGGUGACAGGUGGUGCAUGGUUGUCGUCAGCUCGUGUCGUGAGAUGUUGGGUUAAGUCCCGCAACGAGCGCAACCCCUAUUGUUAGUUGCCAUCAUUCAGUUGGGCACUCUAGCGAGACUGCCGGUAAUAAACCGGAGGAAGGUGGGGAUGACGUCAAAUCAUCAUGCCCCUUAUGACCUGGGCUACACACGUGCUACAAUGGUUGGUACAACGAGUUGCGAGUCGGUGACGGCAAGCUAAUCUCUUAAAGCCAAUCUCAGUUCGGAUUGUAGGCUGCAACUCGCCUACAUGAAGUCGGAAUCGCUAGUAAUCGCGGAUCAGCACGCCGCGGUGAAUACGUUCCCGGGCCUUGUACACACCGCCCGUCACACCACGAGAGUUUGUAACACCCGAAGUCGGUGAGGUAACCUUUUGGAGCCAGCCGCCUAAGGUGGGAUAGAUGAUUGGGGUG
rnacentral:rRNA from 1 species